GAUAGAUAGAUAGAUAGAUAGAUAGAAUAGUUUAUUGUGACAUAAACAUGAAUCGCAGAGGCUGAAGCCUGUACGCGAUAUACAAUUACUUAACAUAUAAACAUUAUUACAGUAGCCACAUUUAAAAUGAAAUCUUAUUCCGAAUCAAAAACGAACCAACGAAGAAAUCAACGAACUAUAUCAAAAAUGAAGUGUCGAUAAUUCAGUAACAACUGUGUGGUGUUGUACCCAUGUUUUGUUGAAGUGUAGUACAGUAUUACCAACGCAUCAACCAGAGUCCAAUCCGAGGUAGGCAGGAAUUCCUGAGUAUGAGGGUUGAUUUAUUAUUAUAAAUUAAUCAUCGAUCUGAAAUAUUUUCUUCCUUUUUCAGAAAUCCAUCCUUUCAUCAUAUUUAUUUGUUUCUUAAUUGGUCUUAUGUCUUUCAGGUUCUUCGGGAUCAUGCAAUAUAUGCGUGGAGCUAGGUAUGUGAAGCAUCUUUGUCCAAUUCGCUUUUCAGCUCUAGGAAUCACGUGGAUUAUCUUACCCCUAGUUUCAUACCUACAUUCGGUUUGUCUUAAAGUGAGGUGAACUUUCCCAGAACAGAUGGCCGUUAAUAUCUGGGAUACAAACAACUGGUGAGGAUUCAUUGCCCGUGAUAAGGCGUAUAAUUCGUCCGAUGGAAACAAAUGGGGCUUUCCAUGGAUUACACGGAGCAACCAUUUCUGGAUCACUUCUACUCUUUUCAUGUGGCAUUCGUAUGCUCCGCCCCAGGCAAUAAUUCCAUACUUUAUUAGCGAUUGGCAUAGAGCAUUAUAUAUCAGCAUAAGCUUUUCGAUGUCCAGAUACUUUUUAAGGUGUCUAUCGAUUGUAAUGCCGAGAUACUUGAUGGAGUCAGUUUCGGGUAUUGCUGUGAAGUCGUUGACUUUCAGAGGACCCAAGUUCGGGAGACCUGACUCAUAGGAAGUAAAUGGUUUGGAUCUGCCGCAGAGGUUAUCCACGUAAGACCAAAGGGAUUUUGUUGUUGAAGUGUAUUUCGCGACAAAGGUGUUCAUGUAAUCUCUUUUAGCGUUCCUGAUCAACUUGUGUAAGAUAUUUCUGUAUCUUGUAUAUUGUUGUUUCAACUCGAUAUUAAAAUUAUGUUUCACCA